UUUACCAUAUAAAGCUUUUCCUCGGAGGAUGCUGGGAUGCUCCAAGGAGAGAGCUUGUUUCACUAAAGCAUCUCAGAGAAAGCCUAGCAUGCUGUAGGGCCUCCUCGGACUCCUUUAUGCGUUCAGUGAGAGAGCAGCAGCUGUGGUUCUA